rnacentral:rRNA from 1 species
GAUGAACGCUGGCGGCGUGCCUAAUACAUGCAAGUCGAGCGAACGGACGAGAAGCUUGCUUUUCUGAUGUUAGCGGCGGACGGGUGAGUAACACGUGGAUAACCUACCUAUAAGACUGGGAUAACUUCGGGAAACCGGAGCUAAUACCGGAUAAUAUUUUGAACCGCAUGGUUCAAAAGUGAAAGACGGUCUUGCUGUCUCUUAUAGAUGGAUCCGCGCUGCAUUAGCUAGUUGGUAAGGUAACGGCUUACCAAGGCAACGAUGCAUAGCCGACCUGAGAGGGUGAUCGGCCACACUGGAACUGAGACACGGUCCAGACUCCUACGGGAGGCAGCAGUAGGGAAUCUUCCGCAAUGGGCGAAAGCCUGACGGAGCAACGCCGCGUGAGUGAUGAAGGUCUUCGGAUCGUAAAACUCUGUUAUUAGGGAGGAACAUAUGUGUAAGUAACUGUGCACAUCUUGACGGUACCUAAUCAGAAAGCCACGGCUAACUACGUG